ensembl:lncRNA
AAAAGGGAACCGGACAGUACGUUGGAGUCCUCUACUGUUUGGAAUUGUAGCGUCUCCCAAACGCGGUUAAAGACUUUUUGAAGUAAAGAGGAGCAUCUCAUCUGAACCUGAUGUGAGUAGUAUUGUGUGGUAAAGCACAACUGCGUUGACUUGUAUGUUGAAUAUAGAUCACUGAUAAUGUACGAAGGAAAUCAGGGAUUGUGGUGGUUUAACUCAUUUGAAAUUUAAAUAAUGACUCUACCUGAAAGUAACAUUUUAGAGACUAUACAUUCAAACUUGUCAAAGUAAGAGGUUAAUCACUAUUGACUAAUGACAGUCAAAUAAUUAGUAUAACUUAUAUUAAAAAACUGGAUUAGUUAAUUAUCUUAAUCAUUAUUUAAAAGGUGGAUGAUCCCAAAACCCUGAAUUUGUAUUGUCAUUCAUUUAUCUGAUUUAAUGGAGAUGGUAGAUGUUGAACUGUGGGACAGUGCCCAAGUUUGGGGACUGAGUAAUCUGUUCCUUCCUUCAAAGGUCUAUCAUGGAUAUUUAACUGCAGUUCUGUGAGUAUCCCAACUUGACCAUGAAGAUGAACUGCAAACUGUAAGUCAUUAGUUUCUCGUUACUCUUGGGCACAUUGAUGUAUUUUGGCUUCCUGGUGAGUUAACCUGUUAGCUGAAGGUUGAUCUGAGUAUUAAGGAUGUUUCAUUGGUUCAUGGGUUACUUAGGUGUUUGGUUUAUGUUGGUUUUAAUGUUUUUUUAUAAUGGUCACAGGCUCCAAGUUAUUGUUGUAAGCUGGAGUAAUGGGUUGGGUUCUGAUAUCUUUAGUCUUCUUCCCAGCUACUCUCCUGAGCUCUGCAUCUUCAUCACGUGAGUGUUGCUUUAUUUAUGAGGGUGUGGUCUGAGUGAGCAGAGGUGCAUACUGGGAUACAGAGUUGUCUGAAGUCUACAGGUCUGUAGACACGCCCCCGCAGAGGAAACCGUGUGUUUGAGAAACGGUCGUGACAUCAGUUACAUGGACUAGAAUGUUCUUUAAGAUGGAGACAGGGAUUCAGAAGGAGAAACACCAGGGGGAGAUGAGGGGGCUCCUCAUCUCAACGACUAAAACACAACUUCAGUCUGAUGCAGAACCAUGGAACACAUUCAACCGUCCCCUCCAGGCAUCGUGACUCCUCAGGAACAGUUUCAUUUCCAAGAAGGUCUUAUUUGGGGCCAUUCCAAGAUGGAUCCUGCUCCUCAAGAGCCACCCCCCUCCACUGGGUUGUCUUAUGAACAGAUGACCUCCUUCCUGUCCUCAGGCUGACUAAAGCUGCACCGCUUGCUGUGAAGGCCCCUCAUUCAGGAAUCCAUUGGACUACAAAGACAUGACUUCAGAGACGUUGAAUCAACCUGGGACACAUUUUGGACGCCAAACAUAAUCCAUCACCAAUGUGGGAUGCCAAUGAAGAAUGUUGUACAUAAUUUACGUCCCUGGAGACAUUGGUUGUUCUGUUCUGGGUGUCCUGGCAGGAGAGCUGGGGGUGGAUGAUGGAAUGUCCUUUGGGAUGAGGUUUUUACCCUGCAUGAUUGUUUUGCCUUUUAUGGCUGUGUUGUUUGUUGGUUUGACAUGAGGUGGAUGAUUUUUGUGUGUCACUCACACCUGGCAUGGGGUUCUGUGUGUGUGUGUGUGACAGUGAUAAUGGUCUUUGACAGUGAUAAUGGUGCUUCCCGCCGUGGGGGUCUCUUGUGAUUGGCUUGGGAUAUUGGAAUGGUCAAAUAAAUCAUACCUGAUGGACGGCUACACGUUUACUUGAGGCCUCCAGUAGACAUGAAGAGCACGGAGCAACGCUCCGGAGAGAUAUCAAACACACUGGGCAGGAAGGAGAGUUUCCAAAUCAAGUGUAAAUGGAUGCAAGCGGCGUGUUCAGAUCAGUGACUUCAAACUAGGACCACACAAAUCAGGAUCAAUGGAGGAUGGACACCUAAAGGCAUUCCACAAGGAGAGUCUGACGUUGGAAAGGGGCCUCGAUGGAUAUUCAAGAUGACCUUCAGACCUGUAAUGAGACGGCUCUUCCUACCUGGCUGGAUUGAUGGAGAGCCCUGUGGAUCUUGUCUUGCUCUCAGUUGCACGUCUUCUCAGGCUGAACUGUAUUUGUUUUAGACAGGACUAGCUGAACGAUUGGUUCCCUUAAAUCAGAACCUAUCUGGGAACUCCAACUAGUGCGCUCUUCGAGCUGAAGUUGUGCUCUUCAGCUGAGGAGGUAAGGAAACCUUCACUGGGGAUUCAAGAUGUAAAGAGGAGACUGUUUCAAAGUGUUCCAUGGUACUCUGAUGAAGACCGUUGUUGCGUUCCACUGGCUGAGAGGAAGAACCCUCACAUCUUCCUCUUGGCCUUUCUCCUCAGAGUCCUGGCGCCAUCUUGAAGGAUAUUCCGGGGCAUGUAACUGUUGUCACGACAGAUUCUCAAACACUUGGUUUCUCCUGAGGGGCUUCUCUAUAGAACUGAAGACUUCAGACAGCACUGUAUCCCAGCAUGCAUCUCUGCUCACUCAGACCACACCCUAAUGAGUAGGAUGCAACACUCUAGUAAUGGAGAUGUAGAGUUUAUAAGUAACGAGGGAGCAGACAAAGGUGAUUAGAACACAAUGGCAUGUCAAGUCUGUAAAUCUUUAAACCAUGAAGAUGGUUGGAUAGAUCAGGAAUUGGGCUUUAUUUUUUAUGGGCAGUCCUUUCGCUCAAAUGCCCACUUCUCGCUGGACCUGUACAUGUGUUGGCUGGCUGGCAUGAUUUGCUGUUGGUGAUGAGUAGGUCAGGGUGACGUUGCAGGGCUAUGGUCGGCUCUCUGUGAGCUCAACAUUUAGAUUUGCUCUUUAUGGUUUGUACCAUGAAUAAUCUAGAUAAUUGUAAAAUGUAGACAUGGUUUUGUAUUGAAUGAUUCCAUUGUUUUUAGGCAAGGAUUUGUUGUUGUGGGAUGUACAUGGUAGUUUGGUUCUUCGUACGGUUUUGAUUGAUAUAACUUGUACACACUGGGUGCAUAAUAAUGUAAAAGUAUACUGAAUAGUAGUAAUUACCAACAGCAACAAACAGAUCUCCUCAAGGUAAGUCUGUUGGCUGUGUUUUAAUGUAGACCAUCGCUGGACUUCAGGAUCUUCCUCCGUUCAGCUCAAGGUGAGGCGCUGGUUCUGUUUUUUCUUUGGUUGGUUCCGGCCGGAAUGUUCGGAUUCCAGUCGGACGGUUUGUGCUUCCCGCCGUGGAAGGUUUUGAGUGCGGUCACUUGAUUUAGUCCCAAUGGUUAGCAUAGAACGUUGUAGUCUUGACCCCCAUUAGAAGCCACCUGGCAGUUAGUUGGACAGGAAUCUGUCUGAACGUUCUGGAUUGUAUUUGCGUAACCUUGAGCCGUUGCCAACGGAAACUAUUUUUCAGUUGUUUCCAUUGGGAAUUGUUGGCCCUUAUCUUAAACAACUUAAGUUUGAUAUUAAAUACAUACUGACACGUACAUCGUACAAUAUGUUGAUCAUUUUCGAUGGUUGCGCCGUACUUUUAUCCACGUUGACGGGACUCUCGCUGCGUACAAAACUGCGUUCUACUUGCGGGCCCAUUUCUGACAUCAGUGAAGGCUGAAAAUCAUUUCAAGGUGGAAGACAAUUUGACUUUCCUUCAACGGAAUCCAGCACCUGAAUAUGAAUGGGUAAAUUUGAUUUAAUAUCAAUACUGCUUAGUGUUCUUUGGUACUUCAGCUUUUGUACCUUCUAAAUAUCUGCGGUCAUUAAUUGCCACAGAAGUUAUACCCCACCUAAUGGAUUGACGUUAAACAACGACUGAGUUGCUGAGUUACCAACUGGAUAAUAUCAAAGCUAAAAUAAUGGCCGUCCUUCCCACGUGUUACAGUAGUAGACACUCUAGAACUGUACAAGGUUAAAAAGGUAACUUGUAGUUUGUCCCAAGGUGUCCACCUCCUCACCCAGAGCCAGACCUCCACCUCCUGUCACAAGUCCUCCAGAACAGCUGAAAGGCGAGGCUGAGAGGCUGGGGACCGGAGGCUUGUGGUGCCAGGGUGGACCGGAGACUGAGGCUGGAGACCAGGGGCCUGCAGCACCGGAUCAGAGGACCAGGAAUCCAUGGCUGAAGGAGCUGAUGGAGGAGCCAUGCUGAAGGCCCUGCCUGGUGGAGGAGCUGAUGGAGGCCCUGCCUGGUGGAGGAGCUGAUGGAAGGCCCUGCCUGGUGGAGGUUGUCUGUCGUGGGGUAGAUGGAGCCUGACUCUGAGACCAGGACUCUGUCUGAGGAGAGCUGAUGGAGGAGCUGAGACGCUGGAGGACGACUAGGAAUCAACCAACAAGGAUUCCUCAAUGUGUUUCUGGAGCGGAGGCGAGCUGAUAGGGGAGCCGUGAAUCUGGAGGAUGACCAUCACUCUACCAACAAGGAUUACCAGGAAUCUGGAGGACUAACUAAGAAGCCGUACAUCUGGAAAGCAAAUCCUGAGGACGACCAGGACUCUACCAUCAACGAUUCCUCACACACCUGAGCUAAACCCCACCUGAUCCGGACAUCCUGCUUGUCCCGUCUCCUCAGUUCAUCUGAGCCUCGUCCUCCAGAAGUCCUGCUGAGCUCAGCGGUCUGAGGCUGAUGGAUCAAUGACCUCCAGUGGGAGUGAUCUUCUUGACCCCACAUGUAGCCGUGUGCUUCCACACGCCUUUCCCUCAAGUCUGUCACUAACCUCACUACUUCACUACUCUCUACUCCUUCCGCUUCUUCUUCCUUCUCAGUGGUUCGAACCGUUACUCCGAAGGAGUGUCUCCUUGAACCUUUACACUGAAGGAGCGUCUUCCUGCCCUCAGAGGGUUCAGCGUUAGGGUUGAGAGUCAGGGUUUAGAGUCAGGGACAGAGCUGGUCAGGGAGGACUGCUUUUACACAAACCUCUUCACUUGCUUUCUGAAUGGUGACAUUUUGAAAAGAUUCAUCUGGGCAAAUGUUUUCCUCUGCUUGUAUUUGUAUGUAUAUGUAUUUAACUUCCGUCAAUUGUUUUUAUAUUAAAAUCCCACAUUGACUUCUGCAUUUUGGUGCUGUUCAUUUAAUUGUCCUUUAACUUGACAAUUGUCAAGUUAAACUCCUGCAAUACAUUUAAUAUACAUGAUGAAUGUUAUUCAGCAAUGUUCCCAUAAUCGAUUUUGUAAAAAUAUAAAACAUCCAUAUUACUACUAAA